rnacentral:rRNA from 1 species
UACGUAGGGACCAAGCGUUGUUCGGAUUUACUGGGCGUAAAGGGCGCGUAGGCGGCAAUUCAAGUCAUCUGUGAAAUCUCCGGGCUUAACUCGGAACGGUCAGAUGAUACUGCUUUGCUAGAGUACAGAAGGGGCAAUCGGAAUUCUUGGUGUAGCGGUGAAAUGCGCAGAUAUCAGGAGGAACACCGGUGGCGAAGGCGGUUCUCUGGGCAUUACCUGACGCUGAGGAGCGAAAGUGUGGGGAGCGAACAGG